CUUUUUUUCCUGUGAAAAUUCAGUCACCACCAACAACAAAGGGAUCAUUAUCAACUCUGGUUACAGAAUCCAGUACUUGUUAUGAGACCACAAUAAACCCUACAACUGAAACUACUCAUCCUUCACAACCUCUCAACGUGACAUGGAACACAACAGGGGGUGAGUUACAUAAAGGUAGCUGCUGAAGCAGAUGCUGUUGUUAGAGGUACACUAUGUAACUUUUUUUUUUUUUUGCUCAAAAAAUUGAUGCAAUGAGUACAUCAUGAAUCCAUCUUCCAAAACAUGUUUUUGUCUUAUCCUGAAUCACUAUGGUACACCUAUAAUAAGUGUGUAUGUUAGGACUAUUUUAUGCUGCAGAGAAGCCCAGUACCUGCAUGACUUGUCAUAUACAUAAACAGAAUGAAGUAGCUCCAGCUACAAUGUUCUUCUGCAGGAUGCAUGCAGUUUUGUUUAUUCACUGUUAGAGUGCCAAAAGUUACGUAGUGUACCUUUAAAGGAAUAGUUCACCUAAAAAUGAAACUUUGUCUAUUCCUCCAUUUCAACCUUUCAGUUCUCAAAGUCGCAGCUGCUGGUGAAAAUGCUGUCCAUAGAACACCAAGAACAAAAACAUUGCUCAUCCUGACACUGGCAGCCACAAGCGGAGGGAUUUUCCUGACCGGACUCAUGGGCAUCUGUCUGUGCUACAUCAGACUGAAACCAAGGAAGAAGAGCCCUGUGAAUACUUCUGUAGCAGCCAUUCCCCAGACCUCAGAUGAUAUUGACGCCAAUGAGGAACGUUCUGAAGAAAAUGGGAUGAAACUGUACCACGUGUACUGCACCAUCCCUGAUGUCGCUGCAGACUCUCAUGUGAUAUACAGUCUGGCACAAAUGCCAAACCAUCCUCUGCCAGUUUAA
ensembl:lncRNA